rnacentral:tRNA from 1 species
UGGGAUAGCUCAGUCGGUAGAGCAACUGACUCGUAAUCAGUAGGUCGUAGGUUCGAUUCCCAUUCUCAGC